rnacentral:tRNA from 1 species
AAAAAAUUAGUUAAAUGCUAUAUAAUACUGGCUUGUCAUGCCAGAGUUAUCAAAAGAUAUUUUUUA